AUUGAACGCUGGCGGCAUGCCUUACACAUGCAAGUCGAACGGUAACAGGUCUUCGGAUGCUGACGAGUGGCGAACGGGUGAGUAAUACAUCGGAACGUGCCUAGUAGUGGGGGAUAACUACUCGAAAGAGUGGCUAAUACCGCAUGAGAUCUACGGAUGAAAGCAGGGGAUCGCAAGACCUUGUGCUACUAGAGCGGUCGAUGGCAGAUUAGGUAGUUGGUGGGAUAAAAGCUUACCAAGCCGACGAUCUGUAGCUGGUCUGAGAGGACGACCAGCCACACGGGGACUGAGACCAGGCCCAGACUCCUACGGGAUGCAGCAGUGGGGAAUUUUGGACAAUGGGCGAAAGCCUGGUCCAGCAAUGCCGCGUGCAGGAUGAAGGCCUUCGGGUUGUAAACUGCUUUUGUACGGAACGAAAAGCCCCGGGUUAAUACCCUGGGGUCAUGACGGUACCGUAAGAAUAAGCACCGGCUAACUACGUGCCAGCCGCCGCCGUAA
rnacentral:rRNA from 1 species